rnacentral:rRNA from 1 species
AAAGAGCUCGUAGGUGGUUUGUCGCGUUGUUCGUGAAAUCUCACGGCUUAACUGUGAGCGUGCGGGCGAUACGGGCAGACUUGAGUACUGCAGGGGAGACUGGAAUUCCUGGUGUAGCGGUGGAAUGCGCAGAUAUCAGGAGGAACACCGGUGGCGAAGGCGGGUCUCUGGGCAGUAACUGACGCUGAGGAGCGAAAGCGUGGGGAGCGAACAGGAUUAGAUACCCUGGUAGUCCACGCCGUAAACGGUGGGUACUAGGUGUGGGUUUCCUUCCUUGGGAUCCGUGCCGUAGCUAACGCAUUAAGUACCCCGCCUGGGGAGUACGGCCGCAAGGCUAAAACUCAAAGAAAUUGACGGGGGCCCGCACAAGCGGCGGAGCAUGUGGAUUAAUUCGAUGCAACGCGAAGAACCUUACCUGGGUUUGACAUGCACAGGACGCCGGCAGAGAUGUCGGUUCCCUUGUGGCCUGUGUGCAGGUGGUGCAUGGCUGUCGUCAGCUCGUGUCGUGAGAUGUUGGGUUAAGUCCCGCAACGAGCGCAACCCUUGUCUCAUGUUGCCAGCGGGUAAUGCCGGGGACUCGUGAGAGACUGCCGGGGUCAACUCGGAGGAAGGUGGGGAUGACGUCAAGUCAUCAUGCCCCUUAUGUCCAGGGCUUCACACAUGCUACAAUGGCCGGUACAAAGGGCUGCGAUGCCGCGAGGUUAAGCGAAUCCUUUUAAAGCCGGUCUCAGUUCGGAUCGGGGUCUGCAACUCGACCCCGUGAAGUCGGAGUCGCUAGUAAUCGCAGAUC